rnacentral:misc_RNA from 1 species
GUUGAAGUAAACAACCUUCGAUUUUCUGUCAUUUUUCCUGGUUUCUCUUUGUCUAGUGAGGAGAACUAAUAUACCAAACCCUACAACUAAUGCAAUGUUCAUCACCUGUCUUACAGGUCCAGAAGAGCCAUUUUCUCCAAAGCUCUCAGACUGAGUUCUUGGCUUUUGUGGCUUCUCUCUUCCUUUCAUUGUCGUGGAUUCACUUCUACGGAAAAAACUACGCUUUCCUGUAGUUUCCUGCAUAGAAGGUCUCUUAUUUCUUUGAUGAUCAUCUACUCCAAUAUGGCAAUCUUCUGAUAAAUGCACUAUGUUUUUGCCUGCACUUGUCAUACAUAGACGCCUUUUGUUAUCCGGAAAUAUCCAUGCACCAGAAUUUUCAGAGUCAAAAAGUUCAUCUUUGCGGCAUGCUAUUAGUUUUGGUUUCACAUUUGAAGCCUUUUCA